AUCCCAUGAUGUGGAUAUAUCCUUUGCAAAUUCUUGCAUCUUUUCCAUGUUCAUACAAGCUCUUAUCAUCUUUAGGUCUGAAAGAAGUUAGCCCAUUUCUUAGCUU